rnacentral:rRNA from 1 species
UGGCGGACGGGGGAGUAAUGUCUGGGAAACUGCCCGAUGGAGGGGGGUAACUACUGGAAACGGUAGCUAAUACCGCAUAAUGUCUACGGACCAAAGCGGGGGACCUCCGGGCCUCGCGCCAUCAGAUGAACCCAUAUGGGAUUAGCUUGUAGGUAAGGUAACGGCUUACCUAGGCGACGAUCCCUAGCUGGUCUGAGAGGAUGAUCAGCCACACUGGGACUGAGACACGGCCCAG